GCCGGGCGCGGUGGCAGGCGCCUGUAGUCCCAGCUACUGGGAGGCUGAGGCAGGAGAAUGGCGUAAACCCGGGAGGCGGAGCUUGCAGUGAGCUGAGAUCCGGCCACUGCACUCCAGCCUGGGUGACAGAGCAAGACUCUGUCUCAAAAAAAAAAAAAAAAAAAGGGAAAUUCUAUCUUCUUUUUUUUUUUGAGAUGGAGUUUCGCUCUUGUUGCCCAGGCUGGAGUGCAGUGGCGCCAUCUUGGCUCACUGCAACCUCUGCCUCCCGGGUUCAAGCGAUUCUCUUGCCUC
rnacentral:SRP_RNA from 1 species